UUCCAGUCGGAGCCGAGAGCCUUGAACCGCCAGAGGGGCGGGACCGUGCCCCGCUCAGCUCCUUGAUCCUACUGAGCAGGCGCCGGAGAUUCCUGGCGUCUGAACAUUGGUGCUGAGCUUUUUAGGUUACAGACCCAGUCCUCUACAGGGAGGUUAAGUCCGCUGGUCCGCUGGUCUAGAAGAAAGGAACUGAGGACACCAUUCAGGCUGAGGCAAAAAAGCUGCGACAGAGAGAAGGCCUGAAGUUUCCUCGACCUUGGCUUGUGCCCAGUUCAGCCCUCCAAAAGGCAGAGCGGAAAGCAGAAAAACGUCAAGUCACUGGAUGAUUUCCCUGGGCAGCUAAGGCUGAAAGUAGCAUGUCUUCCAUGUCAAGAAAUGAAGCUUAACACUAAGUGG